GUGAAUCAUCGAGUCUUUGAACGCACCUUGCGCCCCUUGGCAUUCCGAGGGGCACACCCAUUUGAGUGUCGUGAAAUCUUCAAAAACCCUCUCUUUUGAGGGGGAUUUUUGGACUUUGGAGGUUCAAUGCUCGCUUUCGCCUUUUAGAAAGCGAGCUCCUCUCAAACGAAUCAGUGGGGUCUGCUUUGCCGGUCCUUGACGUGAUAAGAUCUUUCUACGUUUUGGAUUCGACAUCGUCCCGCUUCCAAUCGUCCCACGGACAAAGGAUGGUGCUCCGGUCGCGGCCGGACCCACCAAAAAAACCUUGACCUCAAAUCGGGUGAGACUACCCGCUGAACUUAAGCAUAUCAAUAAGGCGAGG
rnacentral:rRNA from 1 species